rnacentral:lncRNA from 1 species
GCACCGCCGCGUACCCGGGUCUCCAAGCCAACCCAGCUCCCCAAGCCCCGGGACCCCGGCCCUCCGUGGCCCCCUCCCCGGGAGCUCCUCCCUCCGGGCCCCCCCCCGCCACCCCCUCGCGGACCCCACGAGUCCCCCUUUACGCCUCCAUAGUGGAUUACCGCGGUGCCCGCAGGUUUCGGGCUCCCCUUACCCGGCUCAGGUGGUAGCCGGCGUGUCCCUGAGUCCGCGCCCGGCGCUCUGAGAGGGUGGCCGUGGUUAAUUCCCGGUAGUGACCGCCAUAGCGCCACGUGGCCACUGCUUGACAAAGGAAACUUUUUUCAACCUCCAGUGAGCCUAAGAAAGCCCCAGCAUUUCAGGCCAAGCCGCUGGCUGCCUGGCUUCUGUUUUUACUCCUUUCCUUCUGUCCCUUUCUGGGACGAGCCACACCUUCUCUGCUUUCUCUGGGCCCGUCCAGGACGCUGGGCCCGGGGCCUGGCGCGGUGAGCUGCAGAUAGCCGGGGGCGCAGGGCAGCCCGGAGGCUGGAGGGCGACCUGGAAGGCUGGACCGGUUCGGGGCAUCUGGUGCUCAAGGAAAGUCAGCUCCCGCCGCCCCUCGGGGCCAGGUGGGUGCAUGAAGUACCCGGUGGCCCAGGUGCCUUUCCCCAACCCAAGGAGCUCAGAACUCUUGGCAGUUCGACGUUUGCAAACAAACCAAAGAGGAGCAGAAAGUUUUCAGACUCAGAGGCGACAUCCCAACAGAAAAGAAAACUGAGGCAUCAGCAGAAGAGACUCACCUAAGCUUGUCCCUGACCACCCGCGCACCUCAUAGUUUGGGACGGAAUUGAGAUCACAGAACAGGGUU